CUGGCAGAGAGUAGAGCGUGGGAAUUGUGGUGUCGCUGGAGGAUGUGUCUUGGAGAGACUUGAGGGCUAUGGGUGUGGGGAACAGACAGUUAAAGCUUCCCGUGUGAGCGAGUCAUAUCACGCAGCGCCCGUGCCAGGUCAGCAGUCUGGAUGGAGCCCGGACGCGGCUGGCUGCGCCAGGCAGUGCCAAGCGCCCCACAGCCCUGCGAGGAUUCCCGCGUCCAGAUUUCAUUCUGCAGUCUGGACGAUGCUUUGAAGGCUGCCUCGCUGGGGAAACUGCACGCUACUCCGCUGCUUCCCAAACAAGCCAUGCUGAAAGCACAGGACCCUGCGGGCUGAGCCGGCCAGUGCCGUGACAACGGGAGCCCUGCUCAGAGAAUGCACCAAGACAUGCCAGGCCCCCACCCAGGCUGGGAUGCCAGUCACAGGAGGAGUGAGAAGACGCUGGGUGGAGGGGCCUCCACUCACACCAUCUGUGCUGCCUGGAAAUUCUGAGCUGAACUCUGAUGAGUGCAAUCUGGAACUGAUGGCAAACCCAAAGGUCCUCGGCCCAGGUGAAAGGGCCAUCGUCCCCGUGGAGACGCCUGCGCAGGCGGGCCUGGUCCAUAAAAUAUCCAGGGACAUGCCUAUGAUGUGGCUGGGAGAGCAAUCAAAUCUCAAGAGCAAAUGUGGAGCAGGACGGAAGCUCCAGCCCGAGUGGAGCUUUGCAGAAACAGACCAUGGGCUCAGUGCUGUCGGACUGUUACCCAAGGUGUAAGUAUAUACGGAAUUAAUAAGGGGGUCACAGUCCCGAUGCCAGGAACGGCUCGUGGCUCCGUGCGGAGGCCAUUUCUAUGUGGAGUAUCUGCAGCGAGAUCCUUGAGGGGCGGAGGAACCCAUUACAGACUUCUAACUGGAUUCUUCUUCCUCCGUCUUCGUACUUCCUGUGCGGCCCAAGGCCAGCUGUCUGGCAUGCACAAGGAUACGCUGCUGCUCUUCAACCCCUAAGAAAGACACCUGCUUUCAGGAACAUGCUCUGAGUGUGGCCCUGGCACUACUCUGGCCAAGGACCAGGGUGUCCUGGUGGAAAAACAGAGGCUGGAGCCAACCAGUGGGCUGUGUCCUGGCUCAGGUCAUGAGGUCAGACCUCUUCACUGAGAAAUCCAGAGUGCCCCAUACCUACGUCGCCGUUUGCUGUGAGCAUUGAAUGAGUUUAAUAAUUGGGAAAGACCUAAAGGAGUGUCUGGUGUACACAGUCGGUGUCCGAGACAUGGAAUUGUUUUUGUGGCUGUGAACUGUAUGUGGACAGUUGCCCUGCUCCUUUCUCCAAGGGCCUGCAGGGUGCCUGGUAGGCACAUCUCACAAACAACUGAGGCUGUUUAGUGGCAGUAAGGGAAGUGGGUCUUCAGAGGGCAGAAGGCAGAUUUGGAGCUGCCAGUCAGGGGCGAUUCAUGACAGUGACCAGGUGACUGCUCCUAGCGGUGGUGCAGGCGGACAGAGCACCCUCUGACUGCCCCCACACUCGCCUUCCUGCCCCAUGGCCACCCACCGAGCAGAAGGCUUGGGUUCCUAGCAGGGCAGUCUCAGGAUGGAGGCCGUCAGGCAGAGGUCGUGUGGCCGGUGGAGGGAGGACCCUGGUGGCAGGUCCACAGCCAGGUGCCAGGCCUUUUUGUUCAAGGCCUCCCACUGGGGACCAGCGAGAAGGCCCUGCAGGGCCAGGCUCAGCACUGGGCGGGCUUCCCUCCCCGUCUCUCUUCCCUGUACUGAGGGACACUCGUGCUGCUCCUCCUUGGGUACCACAAGACGCCUUUGCUCCUGCUCUUCUUUGCAUCUCCUCUGGCUGCACCAGGUGCCAUCGGACACAGUCCCUUGACCCAACUCUAUAAUCUGUGUCACUUCAGGGCCUCUGACGUGGCUUCGCUUUCUUCCAAGACUCACUGCCACCAGUCAUUGAGCAGAGGGCUGUACGUUGCGCAACACGUCAACAUCAGGAACAAAACAGCUUCCGAGUCAGAGUCGAGAGCAGCCCGCUUGGUCUUGGGACCAACCACAGGUACUAACCAAGAGGCAUUUGUCAGGAGACCACACUGAGGCAGGAGCAGGGAAGAAAGGAGGAGGCUUGUGGAGGGGACAGCCGGCGGUGUGACGACCACUGUCCAGGGCAGAGGUUCCCUGUGGACGUGGGACAGGUGAGGAGCUUGGCCUCUGGAAACCACCUGGCAGGCGCUCUCACCGUGUGUCCAUCGGAGCAUCACCGUAGACUUAGACACGACAAGGAAGAGUGUUCUGCAGUCUCCUUCCUCCCUGUGAAAUGAAAGAUCACGGACUUUCUUCCAUUGUGGAGAAGAUGAAAGGAAAUGUCUGAAAAAUAUUCAGCAUGAUGCCUAACACUAAGUGAUUCUGCAAUAGAUGUCCGCGGUGAUCGUUUUAUUGUGCGCUUUUACAAGCAGGGUGUCUAGGAAGAUGGCGGACCAGUCAUAGGUCAUGUGAUGUCUGAAUCUCCAGACGACUCCUCCUCCCUAGUAUCCACCCUCAUAAGACGCCCAUUUCUCUACCUACGCAGUUCAGCCUUCAGACCCCCCACCCACACGAAAGUGAACAUUUCAGUCUGUCUGACACAGAUUUCCCACUAAAAAUCAGCAUACUGAUAUUGUGGCUCAGCCAUUAAGAGUUGGGUUGAUGUCGUCUAAUUCCACGUCCAUUCUGGGUAGAAAGACAAGACUGGUUUUCUGGACCAAGUUCCUUGAGGGUGACGGGAUUCAUCAAGGUGACAUCAGACACCAGAGGGGCCUCUUGUGGUCAGCCAGUGGCAUCCGUUUCCAAGUCCAUCAUUAAACACUCUGUAGUAGAACACCGUGCCCACAAGGGUAAGUGGGAAGGUGUCCUUGGAACCUGGUUAUUUUGCUAUCACUUGAUUACAGGCAUCUUUGUCCCUUUUUCCUUCUGACAAAACACUGACAAAAUUAUCCAUCUGAGGGCUAUGCACCAUAUCUGAACUCUAGUGCCAGGUAGGAACCAAGACCAAUGGGUGGGUAAGUGUGCUGCUUAUUAGGGACUGAAUUGUGUCCCCCAAAAAGAUGUGUGGACGGUCUAACCCUAUAUCUUAGAAGGUGACAUUAUUUGGAAGUAGUGACCAUGGAGUAAUGAUGAGGGCGUAAUGGAGGAGCAGGCCUUCGUCCAACACGACUGGUAUCCUUUCAGGAAGAGACAACGCCCCAGGGGAAUUCAGGUGUGCAGAGGGAAGGCAGCCAUGGGCAACAGGUGGCCAUGAGAGUGAUGUGGCCGUCGGCCAGGGAACAGGGAAGACCGGCCCCCAGGGUGAGGAGCACCUCCCGGACGGCCUAGAGGAAGCCCAGCCCUGCCCACACCUGGACUUUGAAGGUCUAAUUGCCAGAACUGUGAGACAACGGAUUUCUGCUGCUCCACUUCACCCUGUUUGUGGUCCUGGGGAAAACACACAACCACACCCACUUCCAGCAGCUGAGGCGACCUUCGGUUCACAGUGGGUGUGUAUUUUCUUAAAGGAUCUUCCUGUGCUGAACCUGUGCUUACAUGAGGUUAGAACAAGACGGGGCAUCACCUUAGACAUUAAAUACAACAAGGAAGAGUGUACUGUGGGACGCUGGAGAAUCGGGUUCUAGGGGGAAGUGCCUAUUUCUACUGUAGUGUACGAGUUCAGAUUAGCCAACUUCAUUUUCCUGCCGCAUGAGGGCCCAAGGCAUGAUUUAGUUAAUCAAUUUCUUGCAAAUGGAUGGCUUAAAAGAGAAUGGCUCUAGCAAGAUAUCCGGUAGCAUUUGUAACUCUCAUUGAUUCUGCCCUGGUGAGCACGUGUAGUCCUGCAUCAAGGAAACCAAGAACAUGCUGAAGACGCAUCAUUUUAUAAUGUUGGAAAGUGGAUUUAUAGAGAUUCCUGUAGACUUCCAAUGCCCGCCCCAUUUUUAACAGCCCUGGUGUUCUUCCAAGGUCUUUGUCAUGCUGGGGAACUCGAUCCAUAAAACAAUGCGGAAUUUAUCAUGUAAGUUGACCCAGUGUUAAUAAAGUGCGGUUAUGUUGAUUGUGGUCUGAUCAAAUACUGCAUCUUGUAGGACUAGAAACUUUUAUUCAGACAUUCCCGUUUAGAUGGAUAGGUUAUUAGCCAAGGACUGAUCGGGCUGAUCCCACAAAAGCAUUUAUAGUGAGCGCUCUGCAGUUAUAAAGUAAAGGUGCCGUAAAUUUUGUGCCCAGUAGCUCUUAAGCAGGCGAUCCCGCUCCUCUUGGAUGACGGUGCGUUUCCACUGCCCCAGCCACCCGUUACCACCCCUUUCCCGUCUGUGUACAGCCCGGUGGCAGCAAGCGAAGCCCAAGGCUGCUGGCAGAGCUGACGAUUUUUUAAAAACAUGCUUACCACUGCUUUAGGGUUAGGUAAACUGCAAGGAGCCAGAGGUGGGUCUUCCCAGCUGGAGAGCUGGUGUAUUUGCCCAGUGAAUGGUUUUGAAAUCAGUCUCCCUUUGUGGAGGCACGCUGUUCCACCCUCCACGAAACCUCCAGCAAAAGAAGGAAACGUGUCAAGUGGCAGGAGGCAAACCGCAUCCCGGUGUCCAUGUUCUGUUUGUUUGUAUGUUUAGUUUUUUGUUGGGAUGGAGAUUAGCCAAACCUGGGCUUCAGGACCCUCUGUCUGUCCUCUCAGCGGCUCCCAGGAGACAGCACAGCACAGUGGCUGGGACCCUGGACAGAAGCUGUGAGCCUGCUGAGACUCCUGCGCUCAUUUCCUUCUUAUCUGAUGAUGGCGUUGGGGGGGGGGCAGGUUGGAGGAGGCCAGGUGAGUAGGGAAGGCUGUGAGAGGGAGGGCUAAGGUGCCUUCCAGAGGCACACGGAGGUCUUGACCAGGAGCCACCUUUGACUAAAACACACAGCGUCAUGGCCAAUACCCUCCUUCUGACCUUGGACUUCUUGGCAGAAGACAAUGUAAGCUAAGCAUCGGAUUGAUGUAUGAGACCAAACUAAAUAACUACCCCAGGAGGUUCAGGGGACUCCCCCGGGCUGUGCUGGAAGGCCCAGAAGCUGGGGAACCACACACUGCUGCAAUCUGGAGGGGGGUGCCCUACAGGUGGCCAAGGGAACAAAAGCACACGGCUAGCAAAUCAGAGGGAAGCACCAUCCUGAACCCCGACUCCUGAAUUCCCACUUAGCAGGCCCCACGCCAGCUCCCCAGCUAGGCCCUGACCUGGAGUCCGGGGUUGAUCUGUGGUGACGUCCUGUCUUUGUCCUCCACCCACUGACAAGAGAGACCAGAUUCUGGGAUUCCUCCGUUACAGCAGCUCUGCAAUUGUCUUUAACUUAUGGACCCUGAAGAGGAGGGAAAGUGCUAAGAUGGUGCUGUUUGAGCUCAGCAUCCAAAUCAAGGAAGUCUAAGUGAGGUACGGGAUUCCAUCUGGAGCCAAGAAAUGGCACAUGGGCAUUUAUUAAUCCUACUACCAAGUGGUCUGCAUGUCCUCAGUGCGCUGGACCCUGAGAUGCAGAGUCCAUGUUUCGUCCCAGAUGCAGAUGGAGCGGCCCUAGGAGGGGCAGGUCUGGUGAAUGGACAUGGACAUCAGGGAACAGAGCCCUGCUGAGGGCUGGCUGGGGCUGCGGGAAGCGUCUUGCUCUGCAAAGGCCACGCUGCGGCAGCCUGCUCUUGCACCCACCCAGAGAGACUCUAAAGAGGACUACCCAGACCGCUUUCUCACGCUCUGGUGAUGGCGUUUGUGCAGGCUACCAACAUGUCACGAAGCUUACAGAGAAGCACCUGGUAGUUGGCACCCACACCUGGCCAAGGCACAUUGGGAUGGAACUGCCCACUUGUCCCCGGUGGCCACAGCCACGCAGCCCACAACAGCCUCAGCACUGUGUAGAGAGGGCCUUGUGACCAUCCUGGGUCCACUUGCUAAAGUGGACCCUGAACGCUCUUCAGGUUCCAGUUUCUCUAACGUUCUUCAUCGUCACCUUUCUGGUAUCCUUUGCCCCUAAGGACACUGUUUCACCCCCAGCCCAGGUCACCCAUCUGCAGAAGUUUUGUUCCUCUUCCCUUCAGGAGGGAAGUUCAGUUCUCCUCCCCUUGCGGGAGGGAUAUAUUUGCUUCUAACAGAGAGAGGACGAGGUGAUGGCAUGUGCUCUGGAGCCCAGGUCAUGGGGCCUCGGCAGCUCCCUGAUAGUCCUACCCUCUUCUGUCACCUGGUUCCAAGAAGCCUGUGGCCCUGGGACGGCUCAGUGCGGAGUAACUGUGGCCCCAGCCUCCAGCCGCGUGUAUGAGCAUCUUGGAAGCAGAAGCUCUGCCUUCGCGGGGUGCAGCCCAGCCGGCUGCCCACAGGGACCUCAAGUGAUGAGGCCCAGAGCGCCCGGUUCAGUCCCUGCCUGAUCCCUGCACUGUGUAUUGUCUGAAUCUGCUGGUGUGCAGCUACAGGGCGCGGACAGCAGUGCACCCUGGCCUGUCCUCUCGCGGGCUCCACUCCUGUCCAACAGCACUGCUCCUUCCUGUGUCCUCAGUGGAUCCCACCUGCCCUUGAGCCAGUCCACCACGGGGUGGGCCCUGUCCCCAGAGCCCAGUGUUCCCAAUGACAUCAAAGCCACGUCUCCAAAACACAGGGUGGCUCUUCCUGCCUCUGCCGUACCUCCUGCAAAUAACUGCUCUGCCACCGUGUCACAAGGAAAGGACCUUGAAGGGCUGAGGGAAGAGACGCCGUCUCACUAAGUGGCUCUAGAAGGAGCAGCUUCUUCAGAUUCCCUUCCUCUUGCCACCCACUCUGCAGUCCCACACGGCCCUGGCCUGCCCCCUCGUCCCCUCUGCUCCUGCGUUUCCUUCUCCUCAUGGCACCCUGGCUUGCCGUCCGCCCCUGGCUCAGGGCUGGUUCUGCCCUCCUGACACUGCCUCCCAGGACAAAUGGCUUGAUUCUGAGUGGUCAGCAGAUGAGUUCUUCUCAUCCAAAGAGGCAGACUAGUUCUCCACGGGUACCUCUGUCUCUGCAUCCCCUGCCCUUUCACGGGGAAACCUCUCCUCCUGUCUCUGCUCACUGAAAUCCCUACUUGAGGCCCGACGCGGGCUGUGUGAAGUGCCUUCGUGUUGUUAACUUCCUCUGCUAGACAGGAGAUACACAGCCCCCUGCAGACUGGUCUUCCAACACACCCCACCGUCCCUUUGUUGAGGCUUUGUUUAUAUUAACGGAAUUUCCCCAGGUAUCAAUCAUGGCCCUUGCUCUUGAGAGCAAGGAGCAGCGCAGUCCUUCGUCCCCCUAUGUCAGGGACAUGGCCUUGGAGAAUUCCUUACGACAUAUUGGUCUCAGCUUUCCCGUCUGUGAAGUCCUCUUUGUGGAUUUGGAUCCUUGGCCCUUUCUAAGAUUCAUAUAUUCAAAUUCAAUGUGAAGAGAAGUUCUAAUAUUGCCAAGUGCACAGGAAACCAAUAAAAAUGUGAAACAUUUGGAAUUAUA